CUCUCGACUAGAGCGCGCAAGGUUACACAGAUCUCUCGAACUAACAACAUCCUAGCUUCUGGCAACUGCGCUCAAAGGGUACAACAACGACGAAGAUCCGGCGUCGAACUUCUGAAGAACUCAGGGCGGGCCCUAUGUCCAGGGCUACCGUUGGCUUUCCCGAAGCACUGAUGGCCCGGUCCGCUAGCCAUUCCUUGGACUCGGAGGUUUAUUUGCAUUUGAUGUUGCCGGCUCUUCAUCGGUCUACACCUCUAGCAUCUCACCAUAAAAAGAAAGGAGAACUAGAGAAAAAAAGAAAUGCCAUGUCGAUUUGAUGCCUCUCUGUUGUGUUCCCAUAUAAAUGAA
rnacentral:lncRNA from 1 species